UGGGCAGAGGGAACUGAGCCCCUGCAGCCUCACAUCACAGGGCGGGUCCUCUGUGGCGCUGGGUUAUUCCCUCAGCCCACUCUCAUCCACAUCCUCACAGAAAACAGCAAACUCCAGCUUCAGGAAGAAGUGGGUGGGCCAGCUUGGAGCAACCCAAAAAACCUGUGGCUGUUCGCAGAGCAUAUGCUCCCCUGGAGGAGAGCUGGGCUGGUUUGCACUCCAGAACGCUGUGUUUGCCUUUGGAGCAGGGACACUGCCAAUCCUGGCGCCCAGCUCGCGCGCAGAUAAGUUUUUAGCGUGCGGAAGUGUGUGAAUUCUAGGAAUUGAGCUAGAAAAACAAAGAACAUAUGUGUGCUGCGUGCCUGGCUGGGCCAAACAGCGAACUCUGCCGUGCUACGUGCGGGGAGCCAAGAGCUGAGCAGAGGGUAGGAAACUCAGCGUGUGUGGCUGAGCAGGGCCCAGCCCCACGUGGAGGGGCUCAGGGCAGGGAAUAAUGCAAAAUUCCCCGAGUGGGAUGCUCCAACAACAGGCAAAUAACGGCAAAAUAAACACAGCCAUGGAGGCAACGCUCAUCUUCCUCUGCUCCCUG